AGGGAAUCUUCCACAAUGGACGAAAGUCUGAUGGAGCAACGCCGCGUGAGUGAAGAAGGUUUUCGGAUCGUAAAGCUCUGUUGUUGGUGAAGAAGGAUAGAGGUAGUAACUGGCCUUUAUUUGACGGUAAUCAACCAGCAAGUCACGGCUAACUACGUGCCAGCAGCCGCGGUAAUACGUAGGUGGCAAGCGUUGUCCGGAUUUAUUGGGCGUAAAGCGAGCGCAGGCGGAAGAAUAAGUCUGAUGUGAAAGCCCUCGGCUUAACCGAGGAACUGCAUUCGAAACUGGCAGGUUGGAGUCUUGUAGAGGGGGGUAGAAUUCCAGGUGUAGCGGUGAAAUGCGUAGAGAUCUGGAGGAAUACCGGUGGCGAAGGCGGCCCCCUGGACAAAGACUGACGCUCAGGUGCGAAAGCGUGGGGAGCAAACA
rnacentral:rRNA from 1 species